rnacentral:tRNA from 1 species
GCGUUCAUAGCUCAGUUGGUUAGAGCACCACCUUGACAUGGUGGGGGUCGUUGGUUAGAGCACCACCUUGACAUGGUGGGGGUCGUUGGUUCGAGUCCAAUUGAACGCACCA